ensembl:lncRNA
CUGUUUUUCACCUGGAAGUUACCAAGCUCCCCGACGUGCUUCUGGACGACCUCUGCCCGAGCCUGUCUCUCCUGCUCCAGCUGGGAGGCCAGCGCCGCGACCUGGCGCAGAAGACGUGCUGCUGGUCCAGGUCCUCUCGGACCCGUCAGGGUGGCUGUAUUUCUGGCACUGGAUCGUGGAGAAGCGGAUCCUUUGCCUUUUCACACCGGGCGCUCCCAGGUCGGGUUUCGAGGGGCUCGGCGGGUGGCCCUCCCUGUCAGAGCCGUCCGGCCGCGGGGCCGCAGCGCUCUCUUCCCCACUGGGGCCGCGGUCCCCGAGCUCCUCCCCUGGGGCCUCGUGCUCCAGCUUGGCGCGCCUGCCGCCGGCCACCUCUGCUCCUUCCACAGGGCCCUGCGGCUCCCCCGAGUCCUCGUCGGGCUCCCUGAAAGCCUCGUCUUUGGACCGGAGCUUCGCGUCUGCGUCCUCGAAGCCGCUCCCCAGGGCCGCCGUGUUCACCAGCGCCUCCCUGAGGUCCUGCUCCUUCCUCUCCAGGGCCUGCUCGUGUGCGUCCCGGAUGCGCCGCAGCUCCUCCUCCUUCUCCUGCAGCCGGGUGUGCGCGCCCUGGAGCUGGCCGGCCACGCUCCUGUAGGAGUGCUCCAGGCUCCGAUAGUCGGCCUCCCGCCCCCUCAGCUGCUCCUGCAGCGCGGCCACAUCCCCGUCGGACAGGGCCAUGCGGCCCAGCAGCUCCUGGAAGCGCUGCCGGACCAGGUCCCGCUCCUCCCGGAGGCUCUGCACGUGCUCCGCCAGCUUCUGGAUGCUGGCCUCCUUCAUCUCCAGCUGCUCCUCCAGCCGGUGCACAGCCUCGCUGCCCUCGGCCUUGGCGCUCAGCUCCUCCCUCUGGAGGACCUCCAGCUGCUGCUCGUGGUCCUGGAGCCGGUCCUCGAAGGCGCUGGCCCUGUCCUCCGCCUCCUUCAGGCUCUGCAGCAGCUCCUGCUUCUCCCUCUCGCAGCUCCCCAGCGGCAGCUCGUAGUUGCGCUGCAGCUUCUCCUCCAUGAGCCUCUGGGCCUGCUCGCUGGCGCCGAGCUGCUGGCUGAGGUCGGCGAUGCGCUCCUGCAGCCGCUGCACCUCCUUCUGCCUGUCCCGCUGCAGUGCCUGCUGCCUCUCCAGGUCCCGCAGCUCCUGCGUCCUCCCCAGCAGCAGGGCCUCGGCGCUCUGGAGCUUCUGCUCGCUGGCCUGCAGCUGGGCGCUGAGCGCGGCCUCGCUCUGCUGCCGCUCCUCCAGCUGCUCGCGGACCUUGUCUCUCUCCAGCUUCAGCUCACCCUUGAGCUUGGCCAGCGCCUGCUCCUUGAUGGCGAGCUCGGCGGCGGCGGUGCUGAGCCUCGCCUGGAGGCUCCGGAUCUCGGCCUCGUGGUGCCGGAUCGCGUCCUUGGCCUCCCCGUAGCUUCGCUUCAGGGCCUGGAUCUGCUGCGUGAUGAGCUCCUGGCGCUGGCACUGGGCCUCCAGCUCACUGUGCAGGUCCUGGUUGACUCUGUGGAGCCUCUGCCAGGCACCGGAUGGGGAGGUGGCCACUUCAGUCUUAAAAAAACCGAUUAAAUACUGGUUAGUAACACUCGGGCCUCCCAGUUCUGAGUGUCACACCUCUGGCCAGGGUCAACCACAGAAAGGCUCCUUGGUGGGUCUGCCUUUUAUCCUUCGCACAAUUUGUUUUUCGUUAGAAAAAAAUCCCAACAAAUCAUCUUAAUUUUGGGUAAAGCAGCUGCUUCCAGGUAAACGGAAAACAUGGACAUUAGCAUCAAAACAGCGCUAACCGAAUAGCUUCUAGGAGAAAUAAACCAAACAAAACUGAAAAAUGGAGCACGCCGAUAACAAGCAAACAAAGACUGCGGGACAAGAGACGGGGGUGGGGGGUGGGGGGGGAGCAUCGCACCCCUUUGUUUGUUUUGCAAAACAAAAGGCACAGCUCUAGACAACGAACCCCACGAAAGCGCAGGACCAGGACCGGGCGGUGACGAGGCCGCUUCCUUCUAGGACAGGGCAGAAGGAAGGGAGGCACCUGCGGGGGGAUGUCAGCAAGGUGACAUCGCCAGGCCUCCUGCGCCAGCAGAGCCGGUCCUCUACAGUGACAGGAGGAACUACUCUACCUGCAGGAAGACAAAACGAGGGGGAGAACGGAACCGUGGGGCACACAUGAGAGGGAGCAAACCAAACCAACCUUGGUGGCGUGGAGCAGAAGAGAGGGAAGCGUGCAGAACAAAAGAAAAUGCAACACAACGGAAACAAAACUGCCCGAGCUGAACGGCGUGCAGACUGGACAGGACUAACCCAGAGGCGUGAGAGCAGCUCAGCCUAGACGGGCCUGCCUGUGGCUCCCUCUCCGUGCGCUGGCGGGAAAGCCACAGAUGUGACACUCAGUUACGGCAAGUUAGAGACACACUUCCCGACGUCCACACCGUGCCAGCUCCUGCUCCCGGCCGUCAGCGCAGUGCCCACCCCGAGCUGCAGGUCCUCCCGACCCGCAACCCCAAAGGCCCUUGCUCAUUCGGACUUGCGAUCAGAGACCUUUCAAAGCAACACAUUUGACCCGGUGGGGAGGGUCAAGGUGCCGGCUGAAGGACGGGCUGGAGCGAGCGUCCAGGUCGGACCCGGGGCGGGUUCUUAGGUCGGCACCUGGUGUGAAGGGGGUUCCCGCAGGAUGGUGGCCCACCCAGGGUUUAAAAGAGCCUCCCCAAGCCUGGAGGGUCUACGCGAAUGACUCAGAAAGGCCUGGUGAGACGCACCCAUCGCCAGUCCCUGGUGCCUCAGGGUCUGCAGAGGGCAUGGCAACAACGUGGGCACCCCGGGCCGCAGCCGCAGUGGGGAGAGAGGAAGCAGAGGGAUGCGCGAAGCCAGGAGGCAAGCGCGCCACCGUGCAGACACGUCUGUGGAGGAACUAGCACAGGAUCUGGGCCCGAGAGGUGAAAGGGCCCCAGGGGAGCAGUGCUAGGUCUACACGGCAGGGCCCUGACGUGAAGGCCGGCGGCUCCAGUUCUCCACCCCCUCGCCCGUCCUGCUUCUCCCCCAGCACUCACCCGGCGGGCACCGCCACCAGCACAGCGCUGCCGGGGCAGGACUGCCAUCCCGAGCCCUGACCCAGGGCAGGGCCUGGCCCGCAGAUGCGGAGGUUUCAGCAGACUUUGCAAAAUGUCACACGAGAAGCGCCCAGGACCGCCGCCCGGAGAGCCUGCUCCGCCGGCAGGGUCGCCCAGAGGCCUGGCGCUUGGGGUUGCAUUUUCCCAGCCUGUACCCCACGGGCGCCUGGGGGGCCCCAGGCCCGCCGCCCGGAGAGCCUGCUCCGCCGGCAGGGUCGCCCAGAGGCCUGGCGCUUGGGUUUGCAUUUUCCCAGCCUGUACCCCACGGGCGCCUGGGGAGCUGCAGCAGCCCUCAGCCCUACCUGCAGCACGUAGCCCUCCCGGGCGCUCUGCUCCCGGCCCAGAGCCACCCUCAGCUGGUCCUGCAGCAGCCGGUUCUGCUCCAGAAGGUCCGAGGCCUCCUUCUGGCUCUGCUCCAACUGUUGGCAGAAAGACACAUUUUAAAGCCGAGUGACAGUAACAGAAGCAGCGGCACAGCACCAGCCCGCGGGACAUAUCUGACUGCAGCUGGGCUGGGCUCGCCGGACUCGCUGCGGGCCUUCCAGGGGCUGGCCCUGCAGUGAUUUCCACGCCUGCUUGAGGACCAGCAGGCGCAGGCCCCACCAGGAGAUGAGGGCUUGGUGCUCAUGGCAGAAGGAAGCCUUCCGCCCGCCGGGUGCCCUGGGUGGCCUCCGCGCAGUCCAACAGGCCCCUGGGCAGGCCUGACUCCAGGCUCUACCUCAGCUUCGACACAGCCACCCCGUCUAGCAGGCUCACGGGAAACGCUUCCUAGGAAACCGUGUUGGUGAGACGGGUCCUCAGAAGCGAGCUGCUCCUCCCUCCUGCUCUGAGUGGUUUUGAGCCCGGGUAUCCCCUGCCUGCCCCCUUCCUGGACGUUCCCCGCGUGUGCCCUGGAGGUGAAGGAGCUGGGUGUGCCGCGGGCUGGGCCACAGGCACGCACGGGGCCUUGGUGUUCAGGCCCUGGCCUGCCAGGUCCACUGCGGCCUGCUGACCGGCAGGCUCCUUUUGGCUCCUGAGAGCAACCCGGGUCGGAACUGUCACUCUACUGCACUCUGCCUCUGUGACUGCACGAGCAGGUGCAGAAAAUGAAGACAAAAUCUCCGUGCUGAUGCUAGUGAUUAAUGUCAGCCACCUGAAUUUCACAAAGUGUGAAGGUGGGAAGUGGAGACAGGCCAAGGCAGCCAGGCUGUGACUUCCUCGGCUGCUCUCUUGCUAAGAGCAACUCUGAAGCGUGUUCUUUUCACCCCAGAAGGGGGCCAUAAUGCUGCACCUCCUUGGCCACGAACCUCUGUUCGGACUUACAAAGCCAGGGUCCAAAUCCCGCAGACAGGCUUUCUGGGUACAUCUUCACGGCGGAAACGGAGGUCUCAAAGGCGGGGACCAGCCUCCUCACCCCUCUCUGGGGAGGCUCGCUGCCCCAGCCCCAGCCGCCUGCCCUGCACCCUCGUCAGGUCCCCGAGGUUCCCAGGGCUGCCUGGCGCCCAGGGAAACCCAGCUCUGUUCAGCCCCUCUUCCACCCAGACCGCCAGUUCAUGCCUGAAACGGGGCCCUGCAAGCCCACCAGCCUCAGCUCUGGCACCCCUGGCUCUGCAUGGUCGACUCUGGUCCUUGGCAAGGCCCGGUGCUCCUCCCUGCCCCCCACACAUCCCUGGCCUGCGCUGCCUUCUGAGGACCUGUCUGUCCACCUGUCUGUCUCCCCGUGGGGGCCUCGGCAAGCCUCUGGUGG